rnacentral:rRNA from 1 species
CCUACGGGUGGCUGCAGUGGGGAAUAUUGGACAAUGGGGGCAACCCUGAUCCAGCCAUGCCGCGUGUGUGAAGAAGGCCCUCGGGUUGUAAAGCACUUUCAGUGAGGAAGAACGCCUGGUGGUUAAUACCCAUCAGGAAAGACAUCACUCACAGAAGAAGCACCGGCUAACUCCGUGCCAGCAGCCGCGGUAAUACGGAGGGUGCGAGCGUUAAUCGGAAUUACUGGGCGUAAAGCGCGCGUAGGUGGCUUGAUAAGCCGGUUGUGAAAGCCCCGGGCUCAACCUGGGAACGGCAUCCGGAACUGUCAAGCUAGAGUGCAGGAGAGGAAGGUAGAAUUCCCGGUGUAGCGGUGAAAUGCGUAGAGAUCGGGAGGAAUACCAGUGGCGAAGGCGGCCUUCUGGACUGACACUGACACUGAGGUGCGAAAGCGUGGGUAACAAACAGGAUUAGAUACCCUGGUAGUC